AGCUCAAUGAUUGUAUGCCUUUUGGCAAUAUACACUAAACCGAUCUUAAGCAUGAGUAGAUGAUUUUUUUUCCCAAGUAUGAGAGCU
rfam:Solanum tuberosum cultivar DM 1-3 516 R44 scf00446_16, whole genome shotgun sequence.